rnacentral:tRNA from 1 species
CAGGGGUUAGUUUAUUAUAAAAUAUCGGUUUUGGAGAUCGAGGUUAGGAAGAAUUUCCUCCCCCCUGA